rnacentral:misc_RNA from 1 species
GGGGAGGUGGAGGUGUCAAUUUGUUUUGACAACAAAAAUUACCUGUGAUUGCUAAGGAAAACACUGUUUAUAUUGCAAUUCUAUCUAAAAGAAAUCAAGAAGUUGACCAUUUACCAUACUGAAACACGAUAGCUUUCAUCUAAACAAACACAAAAACUUGUAUAAUUAUGUCUCAUUACCUUUUCAACAUAUGAACGGACCAU